rnacentral:lncRNA from 1 species
AACUCGACGUACAAGCUGCUGCCAGGCGUGGAGGUGAAUGACGAAAUAACCAAGGCCAAGGAAUCAGUCACUGCCAUCUUUAAGGCCGCUGAGGCCUACCUCAUCGCCAACCCCGAUGCCUACAACUGAAUCAGAUGAGAGGAAUCAUAUAUGAUUAUGAUGUCCCAAGUUUGAUUUUUGUGUGCUUUCUUCCGGAUCUAAUAAAGCUGCUACAAUCUCUAAGCUAUAGUAGUGACGCCGAGCGCGAGAGCACCGGGCAGAGUGUAGACGUGAGAAGUUUAGAAGUUAAUGUUUGUGACACGAAAGGGGCCUGUUGUUUGAUGAUGUUGUGCUUGCUUAUAUGAAAUACCUAAACACUCUUACUUUCUUAUAUAUUUGGAAUUGGAAGAUUAUGUGUCGACCUAUUACAUAUGUGUUAUAGGAAAUUUUACGGUGCAUCAUAAUACACCAAAUCACGUGUAUUAUAUGGGCGAUCAUAAUACAUGAUAAUACACUCUGGCACCCAAGCUCGCGCCCCACAUCGUCGCCAGCGCCCACCCCAUCGAGGGCGAAGGCGGCAUCGGCAGCGUCAGGCAGUUCAACUUCACCUCAGGUACAUAUGCAUCACAUACAAUCCAUGCAUGUCACCUAAUUAAGUCAGGCGGCGGCAUAACACGCGAUUCUUUGCUCUUGCAGCCAUGCCCUUUACCCUCAUGAAGGAGAGGCUCGAGUUUCUGGACGCAGAGAAGUGCGAGUGCAAGUCGACCCUGGCCGAGGGCGGCGGCAUCGGCACGGCGAUCAAGACCGCGACGUCUCACAUCAAGGUGGAGCCGGCGGCCAACGGCGGGAGCGUCGUGAAGGUGGACUCGACCUACAAGCUGCUGCCGGGCGUGGAGGUGAAGGAUGAGAUCACCAAGGCCAAGGACUCUGUCACCGCCAUCUUCAAGGCCGCCGAAGCCUACCUCAUCGCCAACCCCCACGCCUACAACUGAAUCAGUUGAGAGGGAAUGAUUAUGAUGUCCCAAGUUUGAGUUUUGUGUGCUUUUUACCCGAUCUACCCCUGUCUCCGCCACUGGCUACAAUCUCUAAGCUAUAGUAGUGACGCCGAGCGCGAGAGCACCGGGCAGAGUGUGGAAUUUUUUUUAGAAAAGGAGGAAUACCCCGGCCUCUGCAUCCGGACGAUGCAUACGGCCAUUUUAUUAAUUAUUGACACAAGACCUUACAAAGUCGUACAAAAGUAAGACCAAAGCCACCAUCUAAGCAAUAUAUGUCGCUACUCCUAUCUAGUUGAUGAAGGGAUGCUGAUAGUCUCGGCCUAAUACCAAACAGACCUCGCAGCCAAACCUAACAUCUAAGACCUGAGGUCCCAACCAGGACGCCUGCCGGGUAUGGGCACCCACUAGUCCGGCGUGCUCCUCAACCAGGACGCCUGCCGGGUAUGAGGCUGCCACAGCCACCUGCCACCAAUCCAUCUUCAGAGCUGUACUGUUGCAUCAACCUUGCCCGGUCUAGCUGCCGUCGACGCCACCACGACGCCAGACAACAUCGACCUCCUGCGCAUGUCCAUCCGCACACAUCUGACGCCAAGCCUCCGCUGCUCCAUGCCACCAAGAGCCGCCGCCAUGAAUAUGUAGAAAGAAACACCGCUCCACCGAAGAAGCCAUCCGCUGGUCUCUUGAGCCCGAGUGCAUCUCCAAGAAUGCCUCCCCCAAGGAGGUAACGACACAUGAAUGCCGCCGUCAUCCGAUCAACUGAUCUAGGGUUUCCAGGUAUUGGGUGGGUUUGGGAUUUGUACCUCGAUGAUGCCUUCAUGAGGGAAACAAUGAUAAGGGCAUCGUCAUCACCGGCUCCGGCCAACGACAGAAGAGUAAGUUUUCACUUGGAUCCGUCCCAAGAAAUCCACCCGACAACCUGUGCACUGUCUCGGCCGCCUUCUAAGCCCCAGAUCUAACCGCCUAUAUCCGGCGACCAACCGCAAUAGUAGUGGCACUGUAGGAGCCCUGGUACACCGGCCACCGCCUGAAUGCGCCACCACUGGAGCCUGGGAGGAGGACUCCCACCCCACCUCGCCAAUCCGCGAGAGCCGCCGAGAUCGAUCCCGCACGCUCAUCACCGUCCCUGAUCGGAACCAAUCCGUGGCAAAACCACGAGAUUGCCGACGCAGAUCCGCCUUGGAUAUGGACUGCACAACGCUAUGCCGCCGCGGAAAGCCCGAGCUUCACCCGCGGCCGCCGUCUAGGGCCACCGCCCCAGGAUCAUGACAGCCCGGACCUCCACGGCGCCCUCUUCAUGUCACCGCCGCUGGCUCGACACCAGGCAACCGCGCCGCCUCCCAAGGCCUCCGCCCGGAGCACGCCGUCGCGCCGCCAUGGAUCAGAUCGCCGCUGCGCCCUCACGCGCGUGGGGGUCCCACCCCACCCCCUCCGGCGUGAUCCAGGGAGGAGAGCCUCCGCCACCGCCGUCGGCCCCGGGGCUUAGCUCAGCGGCGUCCUCCGGCGGCGGCGGAGGGAAGGGAGGGAGGUGGUGGUGACCCUGGCAGCUAGGGUUUGAAGAGCCACCCGAGUCGCCCGAGACGGGGGCGACGCGGGGGCCUUGGGCAGGAGAGUGUGGACUUGAGAAGUAUAAAAGUUAGUAUUUGUAACUACCAAAGGGGCCUAUUGUUUGAUGAUGGUGGUGCUUGCUUACGUUAAAUACCUAUAAACACUCUUAUUUUCUUAUAUAUUUGGAAUUGGAAGAUUAUGUGUCUUACAUAUGUCUAUAUGCAUGUGAAAUACCUAAACACUCUUAUGCGCAAAAAAGGAAGAAGUUUAUAUGUCGAGAAAGACUUUUUUUAGGAAUCUAAGAAAUCAAUAUAUGAACAACACUAUAAGCGGAGUAGGGCAUUACACCUCGCGAUGACCUGAACCUGGGUAAUUCGCUUAUCGUGUGUGUCUCGAGUGUUUUAACCCUUGCAAACAAUCUAGAAGGUGCAUCAUAGCUCCAAUCUCGAUGAUCACCCGUCAGCAAUUGCAUAUUAGAAAGAGCUUACUUUAUCCGCAUUGACCCAAAAAUUUGGAAGUUAAGCUGAAUUUUUAUAGUCUCCUAUUCACCCACCACCCUCUCUAGUCGCCCUCUCAAUCUGUUUGACACACUGGAAACACAACUGUUUUUCUUUUUUUUUUAUCCCAUGGUCUCAACCAAGCAUAAGCACAGGUGCACAAUGAAAGAGGAGGGGAAGUCACAUGAAGUUUUUUUUUUUGAAUGGUACGGUUAGUCCAGAAUCAGGACUGUUAAGAGAAACACACGUGUACACAUGAGCUCAACAGAUCCAUAAAAUACGCAAGGCAAGCAUUGUGAGUACUAGCUUUUCUGCUUACGAAAAUAAUUUACUACCCAUGAUGGUAGCUACAUGUGGCCCCAAUUUUUAUCUCUGAUUAUUUGAGAAAAAAAUAUUUCUACAUGUAGCCCACUGAAAGAGUGGCGUUUUCUUUUCCCACCAGACACCAACCAUGCCAUAUGCCAACCACACCUGUCACCAUCAUUUUCGUUUGGCAUUACCGUAUUUUACUCCCUGGAACACAUUCUUUGCACACCAGAAUCAAUAAACGUUGACGACGAGGGCCACGAGGGGUGCCAUCCAUCAUCCGUGCCAACCCUGCCUGCAUAAUUAAGUCUGAACUGCUGUCCCUCGUGGAAACUCGGCGACCGGCGACCUCACCAGACCCAUCCGCCACCAACCCCGCUCUCCAGGACGCCUAUUUAUAGCUCUCGCCGCGCACGCUCUCGGCAACCAAGCAGCCGCUGCAACAUACUGUACAAUUACUUUGCACUAGCAACACAACGCUCUUACUGAGCUCAUAGCGUUUGCACCUGCCCAUCUUAACUAGUUGAUCACCGCAGCAAUGGCCUCCACCAACAGCUGGACCCACGAGAUCGAGUCGUCGGUCGCGGCACCGCGCCUGUUCCGUGCCGGCGUCAUGGACUGGCACACUCUGGCACCCAAGCUCGCGCCCCACAUCGUCGCCAGCGCCCACCCCGUGGAGGGCGAAGGCGGCAUCGGCAGCGUCAGGCAGUUCAACUUCACCUCAGGUACAUACAUAUGCACCACAUACAAUGCACGCAUGUCACCUCAGUCAGGCGGCGGCAUAAUACGCGAUUCUUUGCUCUUGCAGUCAUGCCCUUUACCCUCAUGAAGGAGAGGCUUGAGUUCCUGGACACAGACAAGUGUGAGUGCAAGUCGACCCUCGUCGAGGGCGGCGGCAUCGACACGGCGAUCGAGACUGCGACGUCGCACAUCAAGGUGGAGCCGGCGGCCAACGGAGGGUGCUUCGUGAAGGUGGACUCGACGUACAAGCUGCUGCCAGGCGUGGAGGUGAAUGACGAAAUCACCAAGGCCAAGGAAUCCGUCACCGCCAUCUUUAAAGCCGCCGAUGCCUACCUCAUCGCCAACCCUGACGCCUACAACUGAAUCAGUUGAGAGGGAUCAUAUAUGAUUAUGAUGUCCCUAGUUUGAUUCUUUUGUGCUUUCUUCCCGAUGUAAUAAAGCUGCUCCAUCUCUAAGCUACAAAUAGUAACGCCGAGGGCGAGAGCACCGAGGAGAGUGUGGACGUGAGAAGUUGAAAAUUUAGUAUUUGUAACUACUAAAGGGGCCUGUUUGUUUGAUGAUGUUGGUGCUUGCUUUAUGUGAAAUACCUAAACGCUCUUGUUUUCUUAUAUAUUUGGAAUUGGAAGAUUAUGUAUCGAUUCGUGAGGAAAAAUACCAUGAGAGNNNNNNNNNNNNNNNNNNNNNNNNNNNNNNNNNNNNNNNNNNNNNNNNNNNNNNNNNNNNNNNNNNNNNNNNNNNNNNNNNNNNNNNNNNNNNNNNNNNNNNNNNNNNNNNNNNNNNNNNNNNNNNNNNNNNNNNNNNNNNNNNNNNNNNNNNNNNNNNNNNNNNNNNNNNNNNNNNNNNNNNNNNNNNNNNNNNNNNNNNNNNNNNNNNNNNNNNNNNNNNNNNNNNNNNNNNNNNNNNNNNNNNNNNNNNNNNNNNNNNNNNNNNNNNNNNNNNNNNNNNNNNNNNNNNNNNNNNNNNNNNNNNNNNNNNNNNNNNNNNNNNNNNNNNNNNNNNNNNNNNNNNNNNNNNNGCGGUCGCAGCCUCGACCGCAACGUGUGGAAGCGCAAAACAGAUUCGGGCGGAUCCUCAACACAGAAGGCUUCUGGAUCGGGGGAUGCUGGAUCCAGAAAGUGGGACGAGGCGGCCGGCGGCAAUCUUGCUGCUCCCCCUCGAAAUGGGAGGUGGGGCGAAGAAGAUGGGGACACGAGCGAGCCUUGAGCGGUGGAGAAGAACCCUGCAUCUCCGCGAGCGCAUGAUCCUCCUGCUUAUGCUGGUAACAAUGCCCCUCCUCCUUUUCCAUGUCAGAUUUGUAAUCUGAAUGGACAUCCUACUGCUAGAUGCACGCAAGCUAUGUGUGAGCGGUGCAAAAAGAAAGGGCACCUGUCUGUUAUCUGCUCUGAAUUUUUACCUUGGGAAUUUUCGCCUGCUAUGUGUGGUUUUCAAAGCAAAGGGCUAGGGUUCUUCUAUAUUCCUGAUUUCAGUGUUGAUAGACAGCCUAGGGAGAGGAUCUUCAAUGUUGUUGUUACUAUCACCGAGGGGGAUGCGCUUACUAAAGAUAUACAUCACGAGUUUAGUGUUUAUGUGGGUCAGGGAUGGCGCUAUUCUGCUAAAUUCUUUGCUCCGAACAUGUUUGCGAUGAGGAUGCCUAACCCCAGAGAAGUGGAUCGUGCUCUAUUUGUUGAACAUAUUAAGCUGAAAAAGUGUGGUGUGGCUGUUAAAGUUUCCCCUUGGUCUGAGGAUAUCGAUUCCGAGGGGCUUCUGGAAGUUGCUUAGGUGAGGAUUGGGAGAAUUCCUCCUAAUAAACGUUGUGAUAAGAUUGUGGCUUAUGGGGGGGGGGGGCUUGUGGGCAUAACCCUGGAGGUUGAUAUGUCUACUUUGAACCGCCCGUCUUCAAUGAGAGCUAAAAUUGGAUGUCGAUCAGUGAAACAACUCCCUAACAUAGCUGAAGGAGUGUUGGGGGGCGUUUCUAUAAAUUCACUUAUGAGGUGGAAGAAAUCCUGGUGGUUAAUACUGUUAACGAUGAGGCUGUGCGUGUUGAUGCUAAAGACAAUCCUCCUAAGCCUGAUUAGACUCCUAAAUGCAAGCGAGCUGAUCAGGGGGUAGAUGAAGGGCAAUAUAGCUUAAAAAGUGGGGAUAAAGGGGAAUCAUCUGCUCGUGGGGGCAAGACCUGUCGUCUGUCACCACAGGAGCAAGAGAUAUCUAUGUCUUCUGACAGCGAGGUGGACUCCUCUCUUCUCAUUGAAACAAUGGCUAAAGAGCACGAGCUUGUAGGAAAUGAUAUGAUCCAUGAUACCUCUAAAUGGCUAACAACACUGAAUCAUGUUGAAACCAGUGCUCCAAUGGAAAAAAGAAAUAUGAAGCAGGAAAUGAAGGUACAAAAUUCAUCCGCUAUUCGUCGAUCCUUGUCUUAUGCUGAUGUGGUUUCUAACCCUGCUCAGAUUGUGGUGGAGGGAGACAUUGAUGCAGGUUUGAAGAACAACAGUGACUAUGUGGUACAGCUCCCACCUUCUGAAUAAAGUGAUGAGAUUAUUCUCACUCCUCCCCUAGCCCCUGAAGCAGCUCUUAAAUUCAGCAAGCAUAAUGUGCAGAGGAUGUAGGAGAGUAUUGUGGAAAAAGCUAUCAAUCUUGCCCAGAAAAAAGACUUGGGAGGUAAUCAUACAGCUUGUAUUAAUGCUUUUGAUGUUCUCUCCAAUUCUGAACUUUUACAUAGAGCUUCUUGCAUGGGUGUGAAUAUACCUGAUAAUGAUUUCUCUUGUGUGGAUGUACUUAGAGAAUUGGAGAGGAUGAGAGAAAAUUUAGCUGAUAAAAAUAAGGUGGAAGAGAAUAGUAAACACACUGAUGAUAAUGGGGAUGACAUUUUGGUUACUAAUGGGUUGGGUAAAUCUGUCCCUGUUAAUCUUACCUGGCUGGACCAGGAAGAGGUCUUGCACGAGCAGAUUUCUUCGGGUAAAAACAAAAAGAAAAUUAAAAAGAAGUAUGUUGUUAAGCUACCUAGACCUGUGACUAGGAGCCAAAUGAAACAAACCUCUACUGAAGAGGUGCUCUGUAGCCCUGCAAAGCCUCCUGGUAGGGCUACUCGAUCUCGUUUCCAUAAGAAUUGUUCCAAAUUAGAGGCCUCAUUUGGAACUGUAGAGGGGCAGGCAAGAAAGGGAUGGCCACCUACCUCUCUGACCUGAUUAGUGACCAUUCCUUAGACUUUGUUGGGUUGCAGGAGACUAUGAAAACAAAAUUUUCCCCUAAAUCUAUUAGGAGGAUUGAUCCCUUUGGACUAUUCCAUUGGGAAUGGAUUCCAUCUGCUGGGAAAUCUGGUGGAAUUCUGAGUGGUGUGAGACAUGAUACUUUUGAUGUUAUUUCCUGCAAUAAAGGCAAAUACAUUUUGCGAACAGUGGUGCAUGACAAGAAGAAUAAGAAGGAUUGGGGCCUCCUGGUAGUGUAUGGAUCUGCUCAUGAGGAGUUUAAAGAGGAAUUCCUGGUGGAGCUUGCUGCAAUGUGUAGCAAUAUGAGUAUCCCCUACAUUGUAGGAGGUGACUUUAAUAUUCUGCGUAGCUGCAAUGAGAAAAAUAAGAAGAUGAAUUGUAGCAGAUCUACUGAUCUCUUUAAUUCCAUUAUCGAUGCCCUGGCCCUCAGAGAGAUCUAUACCAGUGUGGGAAAAUAUACAUGGACUAACAAUCAGGCACACCCAACUCUGGAGAAACUGGACCGGAUCCUGAUGUCUGAAGACUGGGAAAAUCUUUUCCCUAUGGUUUCUGAUAGGAAAUUGGUUCGAGAACUCUCUGACCAUAACCCACUACUGCUUUCUAGUGGGGAGGAAAGUAGAGAAGCUCCUAAACCUCGUGAGUUUCGUUUUAAUCUUGCCUGGAUUAAAGAUGAGAAUUUCCUGCCUACUUUUAGUAAGAUCUGGGCUAGGAGGGUCCAUUCUUCCGACCCUAUUGAUAUCAUGAAUAUCAAAUUAAAAAGAUUCAAAACCUACUUCAAGGGAUGGGGAUCAGAUAAAUAUGGCCAUGACAAAAAAAAGGAAAGAAGAGCUCAGGAUGGAGCUGGCUAUGCUAGAAGAACUUGAAGAAAGUGGUCCCUUGUCCCCUGAGCUAUACAGCAUCAAGAUUGAUGUUAGUACUGAGCUUCAUGACAUACUGAUAAAUGAGGAGAUAUAUUGGCUCCAACAGUCUCAUGAACACUGGCUCUUAAAAGGAGACCUGGACAUAGACUAUUAUGAUAAAAUUGCAAAUGGCCGUAAGAGGAAGAACACAAUUCACUCCCUUAAAGUUGGGGAGGUGGAGAUCAAGGGUACUGACGAGCUGAUUGCUCAUGCCACAGAAUAUUACAAAAGUCUAUUUGGACCUGAGCCUGGUAAUUUGUUUCACCUUGACCCUGACACAUGGACUGAUGAGGAAAAGCUCAAUGCAAAUGAUAAUGCAGAUCUGUGCCGAGAAUUCACGGAGGAACAGGUCAAUGAGGCGCUGUUCUCUAUGGCACAUAAUAGAGCCCCUGGCCCAGAUAACAUACCUGUUGACUUCUAUCAGGUGUGCUGGGAUAUUGUUAAAUAUGAUAUUAUGAGGCUGUUUGUGAGUUUUCAUAAUGGGACUUUGGAUGUGCAACGUCUUAACUAUUGGGUGAUUACUCUUUUACCAAAAACUACGGGCGUGGAUAAAAUCCAGCAAUUUAGACCUAUAUGUCUCCUGAGAUGUCCAUACAAGCUUAUUACUAAAGUUUUGGAUCGGCGAGUGGAGAGAUACGCUGAUAAGCUCAUUAGCUAGAACCAGAACGCUUUUAUUAAGGGGAGAAGCAUUAUGGAUGGGGUGCUGUCGCUUCAUGAAAUUUUAAACUAUACUCAUGUGAAAAAGAGGGUGGGGGUCGUCCUGAAGUUAGACUUUGAGAAGGCAUACAAUAAGGUGAACUAGGACUUUCUGUUGGAAUGUCACAAGCUUCGAGGUUUUAGUGGCACGUGGUGCGGCUGGAUUAAGCAGAUCUUGCACAAUGGUACUGUGAGUAUCAAACUUAAUAACCAGGUUGGUCCAUAUUUCCAGAGUGCUAAGGGUGUUCGCCAAGGGGAUCCCCACUCCCCUUUCCUUUUUAAUCUAGCUGCUGAUUGUCUUGGGAAGAUGAUCACUAAUGCCCAAAAAAAUAACUUGCUGGUGGGUUUGGCUUCGGAUCUUAUCCUUAAUGGAGUUGCGGUGCUCCAAUAUGCAGACGACACUAUUGUCUGUUUGGAACACGAUGUUGAUAAAGCAGUAAACCUGAAGUUGUUGUUGUACAUCUUCAAGCUGAUGUCUGGACUUAAAGUUAAUUAUCAGAAAAGUGGGAUUUUCACUGUGGGUGGCGAUGAGAACACGGUGAAAUACUAUGCUGAGUUGUUUAACUGUGAUGUAGGUAGCUUUCCUAUCAAAUAUCUUGGUAUGCCUAUUAGUUAAUCCACCCUAAGAGAUUCCAAUUGGGAGUUCAUAGUGGCUAAGUACCUCAAAACAAUCGAGGCAUGGAUCGGUAAUGCUGCAUCCAUGGGGGGCAGAUUAACUUUGUUGGACUCAGUUGUCACCCAAAUAUCCUUAUAUCAUAUGUCUAUGUGGCUUAUGAGUAAAACUUUCAUUGAAAAGCUUGAUAAGCAUAGAAGGAAAUUCUUUUGGCAAGGUUGUAACAAGAAAAAGAGGUACCAUUUGGUCAAAUGGGGCAGGAUAUGUAGAUCUAGAGAUAAAGGUGGCCUGGGAGUUAAAGAUCUUCGGAAACAAAACAUUAGUUUGAUGGUCAAGUGGUGGUGGAAACUUGAGACCCAAAAUGGCCUAUGGCAAAAAAUUGUUCGUGCCCGAUAUUUGAAAAAUAGAAUUGUGGCUACGGUCAAACCCAGGUUCAAUGAUUCUCCAUCUUGGAAAGCCCUGCUUAAAGUUAAGACCCUGUAUAUGGCUGGUAGGAAAAUUAAAACUAGAUCAGGUGAUCUUACUAGAGUGUGGAAAGACUCCAUUAAUGGGUAUAGGCCAUUCCAGGACCGUUAUCCCGUGUUGCUUGAUAUAUGCACUGAUCAGGACUGCAUUGUUGCCAAAUUCAAAUAUGUGAAACCCAACACCUUCUUUAGGAGAAGGCUUACCCCUGAUCUUCAGAGGCAAUGGGAGGAAAUGAGGAAACAUAUUGACAAUUUACAGCUGGGAAAAGGGGGGGACCAAGUGUACUGGGGGCUCAAUGGGAAUGGUAGAUUUUCUACUAAAUCUAUGUACAAAUGGCUAGAAAACCCUCUUAGUGGUUGCCACUAUAGAUGGAUCUGGAAGGCCAAGAUCCCCCUCAAAAUCAAAAUUUUCUUAUGGCAGCUAUCUCAGGAUGCUGUGUUGACCAGGCAAGUUAUGAAGGAGAGAAGAUGGCCUGGGAUCCCAAAUGUUCCUUCUGUGAUAAUAUUGAAUCAUCUCGGCAUUUGUUCUUCACAUGUCCUGUGGCUAGAAUGGUAUGGCAUUGUGUUGGGAUGGCUCUAGGGACUGAUUUAUGUCCGAGCAGUUACUGGCAAUAUUUCUCCUCGUGCCACACUUUCCUUCCUUCUGGGAGGAAAUACUAUACGGUUGGCCUCGCGGCCAUUUGCUAGGCUAUCUGGCUGGCUUGAAAUCGAGCCACUUUUGAGAAAAACAGAUUAAGAUACCGUUUGAAAUUGUGUUUUCCAUGUGCUCCUUUUUUUUAUAUUGGGCAGGUCUGCAGCACGGUGAAGGAGUCAAGGAGCUGCGCAGUGGGGUGGUGAUGGUCAGGUCAAGCACUAUGAACAUGAUGAAGAUGUGCGAGAUGGCAAGGAGACCAAUCGAGGGAGAAUGAUCUCGCGAAUUCGCCUGCAUUCAGAGAUGCCACUGACAUUUCCUGCUACUGUUCGUUUCUUAUUUGGAUCUUGUGUUGGGCUUUUGGCUGUAAUAGACUGUAGUUCAUUGGGUUGAUGUGAGACUAUGAUGCUGUCAGGUUUUCGCCCCAUGGCGUUCGUUUCGAUGUUGGCCGAACGCAGUGGGUUUCCUGGCAGUGAUCGAACUCGCUGCACCUCUUUCCCCUUCCCCUGUUUUGAUUCUCGGAACUUUGUAUUUCCGUUCAUUUGCAAUGGAAAGGGGUCAUGCCCAGUUCGAAAAAAAUGUAUCUGUUGGAAAUAUGCCCUAGAGGCAAUAAUAAAAUGGUUAUUAUUAUAUUUCUUUGUUCAUGAUAUUUGUCUCUUAUUCAUGCUAUAAUUGUAUUAUACGGAAAUCGUAAUACACGUGUGAAUACAUAGACCACAACAUGUCCCUAGUGAGCCUCUAGUUGACUAGCUCAUUCAUCAACAGAUAGUCAUGGUUUCCUGACUAUGGACAUUGGAUGUCAUUGAUAACUGGACCACAUCAUUAGGAGAAUGAUGUGAUGGACAAGACCCAAUCCUAAGCAUAGCUCAAAGAUCGUGUAGUUCGUUUAGCUAGAGCUUUUCCAAAUGUCAAGUAUCAUUUCCUUAGACCAUGAGAUUGUGCAACUCCCGGAUAUCGUAGGAGUGCUUUGGGUGUACCAAACGUCACAACGUAACUGGGUGACUAUAAAGGUGCACUACAGGUAUCUCCGAAAGUGUCUGUUGGGUUGGCACGAAUCGAGACUGGGAUUUGUCACUCCGUAUGACGGAGAGGUAUCUCUGGGCCCACUCGGUAAUGCAUCAUCAUAAUGAGCUCAAUGUGACCAAGUGUCUGGUCACGGGAUCAUGCAUUACGGUACGAGUAAAGUGACUUGCCGGUAACGAGAUUAAAUGAGGUAUUGGGAUACCGACGAUCGAGUCUCGGGCAAGUAACGUACCGAUUGACAAAGGGAAUUGUAUACGGGGUUGUUUGAAUCCUCGACAUCGUGGUUCAUCCGAUGAGAUCAUCAAGGAGCAUGUGGGAGACAACAUGGGUAUCCAGAUCCCGCUAUUGGUUAUUGACCGGAGAGGCGUCUCGGUCAUGUCUGCAUGUCUCCCGAACCCGUAGGGUCUACACACUUAAUGUUCGGUGACGCUAGGGUUGUAGUGAUAUAAGUAUGCGGUAAACCGAAAGUUGUUCGGAGUCCCGAAUGAGAUCUCGGACCUCACGAGGAGUUUCGGAAUGGUCCAUAGGUAAAGAAUUAUAUAUUGGAAGUCGAGUUUCGGCCAUCGGGAAAGUUUCGGGGGUCAUCGGUAUUGUACCGGGACCACCGGAAGGGUCCCGGGGGUCCACCGGGUGGGGCCACCUAUCCCGGAGGGCCCCAUGGGCUGAAGUGGGAGGGGAACCAGCCCUAGGUGGGCUGGUGCGCCCCCCUUGGGCCCCCCUACGCCUAGGGUUGGAAACCCUAGGGGUGGGGGCGCCUCCACUUGCCUUGGGGGGCAAGGCUCCCCCUUGGCCGCCGCCCCCCUUGGAGAUUCAAUCUCCUAGGGCCGGCGCCCCCCCUGGGGACCCUAUAUAAAGAGGAGGGAGGGAGGGCAGCCAGACCUAUGCACUUGGCGCCUCCCUUCCCCCUUGCUACACCUCUCCCUCCCGUAGACGCUUGGUGAAGCCCUGCCGGAUCCCUGCUGCGUCCACCACCACGCCGUCGUGCUGCUGGAUCUUCAUCAACCUCUCCUUCCCCCUUGCUGGAUCAAGAAGGAGGAGACGUCUCCCUGACCGUACGUGUGUUGAACGCGGAGGUGCCGUCUGUUCGGCGCUAGGAUCUCCGGUGAUUUGGAUCACGAUGAGUACGACUCCCUCAACCCCGUUCCCUUGAACGCUUCCGCUUGAUCUACAAGGGUAUGUAGACGCACUCCUCUCUCUCGUUGCUAGAUGAACUUAUAGAUUGAUCUUGGUGAAACCGUAGGAAAUUUUUUAUUUUCUGCAACGUUCCCCAACCAUGGUAUCAGAGCCAGGUUUAUGCGUAGUUCUCUUUGCACGAGUAGAACACAAUUUUGUUGUGGGUGUAGAUGUUGUCAACUUUCUUGCCACUACUAGUCUUAUUUUUCUUUAGCGGUAUUAUGGGAUGAAGCGGCCGGACCGACCUUACACGUACGCUUACGUGAGACAGGUUCCACCGACUGACAUGCACUAGUUGCAUAAGGUGGCUAGCGGGUGUCUGUCUCUCCCACUUUAGUUGGAGCAGAUUCGAUGAAAAGGGUCCUUAUGAAGGGUAAAUAGAAGUUGACAAAUCACGUUGUGGCUUUCACGUAGGUAAGAAAACGUUCUUGCUAGAACCCUAUUGCAGCCACGUAAAAGAUGCAACAACAAUUAGAGAACGUCUAACUUGUUUUUGCAGCAUAUGAUUUGUGAUGUGAUAUGGCCAAAAGUUGUGAUGAAUGAUGAAUGAUAUAUUGUGAUGUAUAAGAUCAUGUUCUUGUAAUAGGAAUCACGACUUGCAUGUCGAUGAGUAUGACAAUCGGCAAGAGCCAUAGGAGUUGUCUUAAUUAUUGUAUGACCUGCGUGUCAAUGAUUUAACGCCAUGUAAUUACUUUACUUUAUUGCUAAAGCGUUAGCCAUAGUAGUAGAAGUAAUAGUUGGCGAGCAACUUCGUGGAGACACGAUGAUGGAGAUCAUGAUGAUGGAGAUCAUGGUGUCAUGCCGGUGACGAAGAUGAUCAUGGAGCCCCGAAGAUGGAGAUCAAAGGAGAAAUAUGAUAUUGGCCAUAUCAUGUCACUGUUUAAUUGCAUGUGAUGUUUAUUAUGUUUAUGCAUCUUGUUUACUUAGAACGACGGUAGUAAAUAAGAUGAUCCCUCAUAAUAAUUUCAAUAAAGUGUUCCCCCUAACUGUGCACCGUUGCGAAAGUUCGUCGUUUCGAAGCACCACGUGAUGAUCGGGUGUGAUAGAUUCUAACGUUCACAUACAACGGGUGUAAGACAGAUUUACACAUGCAAAACACUUAGGUUAACUUGACGAGCCUAGCAUGUACAAACAUGGCCUCGGAACACAAGAGACCGAAAGGUCGAACAUGAGUCAUAUGGAAGAUACGAUCAACAUGGAGAGGUUCAUCGAUGAUGACUAGUCCGUCUCACGUGAUGAUCGGACACGACCUAGUUGACUCGGAUCAUGUAUCACUUAGAUGACUAGAGGGAUGUCUAAUCUGAGUGGGAGUUCAUUAAAUAAUUUGAUUAGAUGAACUUAAAUUAUCAUGAACUUAGUCUAAAAACCUUUGCAAAUAUGUCUUGUAGAUCAAAUGGCCAAUGCUCAUGUCCACCUGAACUUCAACGCGUUCCUAGAGAAAACCAAGCUGAAAGAUGAUGGCAGCAACUAUACGGACUGGGUCCGGAACCUGAGGAUCAUCCUCAUAGCUGCAAAGAAAGAUUAUGUCUUAGAAGCACCACUAGGUGAAGCUCCCAUCCCAGAGAACCAAGACGUCAUGAACGCUUGGCAGUCUCGUGCUGAUGAUUACUCCCUCGUUCAGUGCGGCAUGCUUUACAGCUUAGAACCGGGGCUCCAAAAGCGUUUUGAGCAACACGGAGCAUAUGAGAUGUUCGAAGAGCUGAAAAUGGUUUUCCAAGCUCAUGCCCGGGUCGAGAGAUAUGAAGUCUCCGACAAGUUCUUCAGCUGUAAGAUGGAGGAAAAUAGUUCUGUCAGUGAGCACAUACUCAAAAUGUCUGGGUUGUACAACCGCUUGACUCAGCUGGGAGUUAAUCUCCCGGAUGACGCGGUUAUUGACAGAAUCCUUCAGUCGCUUCCACCGAGCUACAAGAGCUUUGUGAUGAACUUCAAUAUGCAGGGGAUGGAAAAGACCAUUCCUGAAGUAUAUUCAAUGCUGAAAUCAGCAAAGGUUGAGAUCAAAAAGGAACAUGAAGUGUUGAUGGUAAAUAAAACCACUAAGUUCAAGAAAGGCAAGGGUAAGAAGAACUUCAAGAAGGACGGGAAGGAAGUUGCGGCGCCCGGUAAGUUAGCUGCCGGGAAGAAGUCAAAGAAUGGACCCAAGCCUGAGACUGAGUGCUUUUAUUGCAAAGGGAAGGGUCACUGGAAGCAGAACUGCCCCAAAUACUUAGCGGACAAGAAGGCCGGCAACACUAAAGGUAUAUGUGAUAUACAUGUAACUGAUGUGUACCUUACCAGUGCUCGUAGUAGCUCCUGGGUAUUUCAUACCGGUGUUAUUGCUCAUAUUUGUAACUCAAAGCAGGAGCUGCGGAAUAAGUGGAGACUGGCGAAGGACGAGGUGACGAUGCGCGUCGGGAAUGGUUCCAGAGUCGAUGUGAUCGCCGUCGGCACGCUACCUCUACAUUUACCUACGGGAUUAGUUUUAAACCUCAAUAAUUGUUAUUUAGUACCAGCUUUGAGCAUGAACAUUGUAUCUGGAUCUCGUUUAAUACGAGAUGGCUACUCAUUUAAAUCCGACAAUAAUGGUUGUUCUAUUUGUAUGAGAGAUAUGUUUUAUGGUCAUGCCCCGAUGGUCAAUGGUUUAUUCUUAAUGAAUCUCGAAUGUGAUGUUACACAUAUUCAUAGCGUGAAUACCAAAAGUUGUAAAGUUGAUAACGAUAGUCCCACAUACUUGUGGCACUUCCGCCUUGGUCACAUUGGUGUCAAGCGCAUGAAGAAGCUCCAUGCUGAUGGACUUUUAGAGUCUCUCGAUUAUGAAUCAUUUGACACAUGCGAGCCAUGCCUCAUGGGCAAAAUGACCAAGACUCUGUUCUCCGGAACAAUGGAGCGAGCAACCAACUUAUUGGAAAUCAUACAUACGGAUGUGUGCAGUCCAAUGAGUGUUGAGGCUCGCGGAGGAUAUCUUUAUGUUUUCACUCUCACUGAUGACUUGAGUAGAUAUGGGUAUGUCUACUUGAUGAAACACAAGUCUGAGACCUUUGAAAAGUUCAAGGAAUUUCAGAAUGAGGUAGAGAAUCAACGUGACCGAAAAAUAAAGUUCUUACAAUCAGAUCGUGGAGGAGAAUAUUUAAGUCAUGAAUUUGGUACGCACUUAAGGAAAUGUGGAAUCGUUUCACAACUCACGCCGCCUGGAACACCUCAGCGUAAUGGUGUGUCUGAACAUCGUAAUCGCACUUUAUUAGAUAUGGUGCGAUCUAUGAUGUCUCUUACCGAUUUACCGCCAUCUUUUUGGGGAUACGCUCUAGAGACAGCUACAUUCACUUUAAAUAGGGCACCGUCUAAAUCCGUUGAGACGACACCGUAUGAAUUAUGGUUUGGGAAGAAACCUAAGCUGUCGUUUCUAAAAGUUUGGGGAUGCGAUGCUUAUGUCAAGAAACUUCAACCUGAAAAGCUCGAAAGUCGGGAAAAUGCGUCUUCACAGGAUACCCUAAGGAAACCAUUGGAUAUACCUUCUACCUUAGAUUCGAGGGCAAGAUCUUUGUUGCCAAGAACGGGUCCUUCCUGGAGAAAGAGUUUCUCUCGAGAGAAGUAAGUGGGAGGAAAGUGGAACUUGAUGAAGUACUACCUCUUGAACCGGUAAGUAGCGCAGCUCGGGAAGAUGUUCCUGUGGUGCCUACACCGACUGGAGAGGAAAUUAAUGAUGAUGAUCAAGCUACUUCGGAUCAAGUUGCUACUGAACUUCGUAGGUCCACAAGGACACGUUCCACACCAGAGUGGUAUGGCAACCCUGUCCUGGAAAUCAUGUUGUUAGACAAUGGUGAACCUUCAAACUAUGAAGAAGUGAUGGCGGGCCCAGAUUCCAACAAAUGGCUUGAAGCCAUGCAAUCCAAGAUAGAAUCCAUGUAUGAAAACAAAGUACGGACUUUGACAGACUUUCCCGAUGAUCGGCAAGCGAUAGGAAACAAAUGGAUCUUUAAGAAGAAGACGGACGCAGAUGGUAAUGUUACCAUCUAUAAAGCUAGACUUGUCGCUAAGGGUUAUCGGCAAGUUCAAGGGGUUGACUACGAUGAGACUUUCUCUCCCGUAGCGAAGCUGAAGUCCGUCCGAAUCAUGUUAGCAAUUGCCGCAUACUAUGAUUAUGAGAUAUGGCAGAUGGAUGUCAAAACGGCAUUCCUUAACGGUUAUCUUAAGGAAGAACUGUAUAUGAUGCAGCCGAAAGGUUUUGUCGACCCUGGGAAUGCUAACAAGGUAUGCAAGCUCCAGCGAUCCAUUUAUGGGCUGGUGCAAGCAUCUCGGAGUUGGAACAUUCGCUUUGAUGAGAUGAUCAAAGCGUUUGGGUUUAUGCAGACUUAUGGAGAAGCUUGCGUUUACAAGAAAGUGAGUGGGAGCUCUGUAGCAUUUCUCAUAUUAUAUGUAGAUGACAUACUUUUGAUGGGAAAUGAUAUAGAAUUUUUGGACAGCAUUAAGGCCUACUUGAAUAAGUAUUUUUCAAUGAAGGACCUUGGAGAAGCUGCUUACAUACUAGGCAUCAAGAUCUAUAGGGAUAGAUCGAGACGCCUUAUAGGUCUUUCACAAAGCACAUACCUUGAUAAGAUAUUGAAGAAGUUCAAUAUGGAUCAGUCCAAGAAAGGGUUCUUGCCUGUAUUACAAGGUGUGAGAUUGAGCUCGGCUCAAUGCCCAACCACGGCAGAAGAUAAAGAAGAGAUGAGUGUCAUCCCCUAUGCCUCAGCCAUAGGAUCUAUUAUGUAUGGCAUGCUGUGUACCAGACCCGAUGUAAACCUUGCCGUAAGUUUGGUAGGAAGGUACCAAAGUAAUCCCGGCAAGGAACACUGGACAGCGGUCAAGAAUAUCCUGAAGUACCUAAAAAGGAUAAAGGACAUGUUUCUCGUUUAUGGAGGUGACGAAGAGCUCGUCGUAAAGGGUUACGUCGACGCUAGCUUCAACACAAAUCUGGAUGACUCGAAGUCACAAACCGGAUACGUGUAUAUUUUGAAUGGUGGGGCAGUAAGCUGGUGCAGUUGCAAGCAAAGCGUCGUGGCGGGAUCUACCUGUGAAGCGGAGUACAUGGCAGCCUCGGAGGCAGUGCAUGAAGCAAUCUGGGUGAAGGAGUUCAUCACCGACCUAGGAGUCAUACCCAAUGCGUCGGGGCCGAUCAAACUCUUCUGUGACAACACUGGAGCUAUUGCACUUGCCAAGGAGCCCAGGUUUCACAAGAAGACCAGGCACAUCAAGCGUCGCUUCAACUCCAUUCAUGAAAAUGUUCAAGAUGGAGACAUAGAUAUUUGUAAAGUACAUACGGUGUUGGGGAUAUUACUACUAGGUGUGAACCGGCCUACCUGGGCCGGGUUAACUUCAUUAGUAGUAUAAAGGUGAUUAAGCAGAUGAAGGCCCAAGGCCUGUAGUCGGUUUAGAACCUGUAGCCGUAAACCGGCUUGAUAUGUAAACUUGCAUUGUAAGUUAGGAAUAGAGAGAGACCAACCGGGAUACGAGUAUGAACCGGUGUGGGACUCUAUGGACCGACGGGCGUCACCCGUGUAUAUAAGGGGACGACCCGGCGGCGGUUCAAGGACAGACAACAACAGCUCGAGCCUAGGUGAAGCUUGUUUGCUCCCUAGCCAUCGAAACCACAUCAAUUCCAUCACAACUAGACGUAGGCUUUUACCUUCAUCGAAGGGGCUGAACUAGUAUAAACCCUUGUGUCUUUGUGUCCGCUUUAACCCCUUCAAGUUAACCUGUAGCGAUGGCUCCACGACUAAGUCCUUUCACGAGGACAUCUGCCGUGACAAAUCCACGACAGUUGGCGCCCACCGUGGGGCUAUCGCACGACGGUUUGAUGAUCUUGGAGGGAAAGCUCAAAGGACAGGAUGGCUGCAGAGCGGGCCGCUUUGGACGCCCAGGCCUAUAAGCUCAUGCUCGACCAGAACGCAUCAUAGGAGGUCUUGAAAUGGAAGCACAGAUCACGCCUGCCGUUAGGGUUCGACCCUCGCAAUCUGUUUCACACUCCGGGAGCUGGAACCAGUAAUCCGCCGGGGCACCUGGUGGUAAACCGGGUCGAGGCACCAGGGCCAGGAGCGACGGUCCAACCCCGCCUGAUGGAACCUCCUCGGCAGAACAUUAUGAUUCCUCCGCCGGUCCAGACACCUCCGGGCCAUUAUUCUAAUCCUAUGGACAAUCUUGUCGCCGCUGCUGCGCGAUUAGAAGCUAUCCCGGUCGAAGGAGACUCUCCGCAAGCAAUAGAGACGCGCCGGGUUAAGGAACUUCUCCGGACCGCUUUGAUUCAACAGGAGGCAUAUUCAUACAGCCGCGAUCAGAUUCAUUCCACACCUCGUCCAAGUCGAAGCUAUAGUAGGUGCCUGGAUGAACCGGCCAUAUCAAGCAAUGCGCGGGGCCGUGAGGCAGCCCGUGGCAAUAACCCGGCCGGUGGUGUUCACGAUGCUCAGGAUGUAGUGGACCGGGCCCAGGCACGAAGGGAGGCCGAGUUAGCAGCACAGAACGAGGCGGAUCAGCUUACACCGGUUCGUCCUACCACCUUUGUCGGGCCAGGGGUCGCAUCUAGCUUGGGAGUGCCCUGUUUAGUCCCCACUUUACGCAAUGUAUGCCUGCCCAAGGAUUUCAAGGGUCCAUGCAAAGUGCCAAAUUACACCGCUGAUUUAUCUCCAGAAGCGUGGGUAGAGAGUUAUGAGAUGGCAAUGGAGAUGCUGGAUGUGGAUGAGACCGUGUGUGCAAAGUACUUCACCAUGAUGCUUGAAGGCAUAGCCCGUACUUGGUUGAAGAGCCUGCCGCCUAAUUCUAUCAGUUCAUGGGUCCAGUUGCGGACCCGGUUUAUCCAGAAUUUCAAAGAUACGUGUAAACAGCCUAAGUCCAUAGUAGACUUGGCGGCUUGUGUUCAGGAGGACGGAGAGUCAACAACCCAUUGGGUACGCCGCGUUUCUGAAGUCUUGCACUCGUCUGACAGGAUCAAUGCCGACUCUGCGAUCUUGACCCUGGAGGGCAACUGCCGGUUUAAGCCUCUAAAGUUGAAGUUGGGGCGUAUGAAGAGGUUCUGUAAUGACAUGGGAACUCUCAUGGCCGCUUUAGUGAAGUAUGCUGAUUCUGAUAGUACCAAGGAUCCCGAGACUGACGAUGACGAAGCGGGGAAGGGAAAAAAGAAUAGCAACUCUAAGGGGCAUCAAUACAGACCGGCGGGCCAUGGAAACGGAGGCAAGCGUAAAGGGGAUGGCAGCAUGGACUUUGUGGCUAACACUAAUGUGCGGGACAAUGGUCAGCGGCGCAGAGGUAAAGCGGCGAAUCGUAAUGGGGCUCCAAAUCCUAACCCGGAUCGCUUAAACUAUUUGUUGAAUCAGCCUUGCCCAAAACACGGGACGAAGGAGGCGCCGGCUAACCACCUUUGGAAGGAUUGUUACAUUAUACAGGAAUUUAAAAGCUCUAAUGCCUUCCGGUAUGACCGUGGGACAGGUGGUGGCUCAGGAUCCGGUUUCCAUGGGCCAGGUCACGAUGGAGCUUCUGGUUCAGGUUUCAAUCAGGGCGGUAAUAAUAACCAGGAUAAUCAGAGCGGCCAAGGAGGUUACAACCAACAGCAACAUCAGCAGCGGUCGGGUUAUCAGAGCCAGCCAAAACAGUUGAACAAUGGGCAGUAUCACGUUUUCACAACUAGCUCGGAUAAGCGCGACCGGAAACUUCAUAAGCGAGCAGUGAACUCUGUUGAACCGGCCGUAAUGCGCUAUUUACGCUGGUCAGAGCAGCCUAUCGUGUGGAGCAGGGAGGAUCACCCCCCCCCCCCCGGGUUGACAAUCCGGGCCAGUUGGCAUUAGUGAUAGACCCUCAAGUGGGAGGUUAUAAAUUCACCAAGGUACUCAUGGAUGGAGGGAGUAGUAUUAACAUCCUGUACUAUGAGACAUUCCGCCGCAUGGGGCUAACAGACAAGGAUCUCAGACCGUCUAAUACAGUGUUCCAUGGUGUGGUGCCUGGCAAAUCAGCAUAUCCUGUUGGUAAGAUAGCCCUGGAGGUGGCUUUUGGGGACGAGCAUGAUUCCUGAUCCGAAACACUAACCUUUGAGGUGGUGAAGAUCCGGAGCCCGUAUCACGCAUUGUUUGGGCGGCCGGCUUAUGCCAAAUUCAUGGCACGGCCUUGUUAUAUCUAUUUACAGCUCAAGAUGCUGGGUCACAAGGGGACAAUAACGGUUCAUGGGAGCCGCAAGAUUGCUUUGGAAUGUGAGGAAGGUGAUGCAGCCUAUGCAGAGUCGGUUUGUGCCACGGAGGAGUUAAAAUAUUAUAGGGACAAUGUUUGUCCGGCGGACAUGACCCCUUUGAAGAAGCCAACUACGGAGCAUGAUUCAGAUCUGAAGUUCAAAUCAGUGGCUGAGACCAAGCUUGUUGACUUCGUGCCCGGCGAUUCGUCCAAGUAGUUCACUGUCAGUGCCAACUUGGAUCCUAAAUAGGAAAGCGCGCUCAUCGAGUUCAUCCGUGAGAAUCGGGACAUUUUUGCAUGGAAGCCUUCUGACAUGCCAGGUGUACCGAGGGAACUCGCUGAGCACACUCGUAAUGUUGAUCCCAAGUAUAAACCGGUAAAGCAAUUUCUCCGCUAGUUUAACGAAGAGAGGCGCAAAGCUAUUGGGGAGGAGGUGGCCAGGCUCUUAGCAGCUGGUUUUAUCAUUGAAGUGUUCCAUCCAGAGUGGCUUGCUAAUCCGGUGCUGGUUCUUACGAAAAAUGGCACUUGGCGUAUGUGUGUGGAUUAUACGGAUCUUGACAAGGCUUGUCCAGUAGAUCCUUUUGCCCUCCCUCGCAUUGACCAGAUUAUUGACGCCACGGCGGGUUGUGAGCGUUUGAGUUUUUUGGAUGCGUAUUCUGGGUAUCAUCAGAUCAAAAUGGCGGUUAAAGACCAGGAGAAGACGGUGUUCAUUACUCCCUUUGGAGCCUUCUGCUAUGUAUCUAUGCCUUUUGGGCUCAAGAGCGCCCAAGCCACUUAUCAACGGUGUGUACAGAAUUGUCUACAUAAACAGAUCGGCCGCAAUGUGCACGCCUAUGUGGAUGAUAUUGUAGUCAAGUCAAGACAGAAGGAGACACUGGUUGGUGAUUUGAAGGAAACCUUUGACAACUUGCGGGUUUAUAAGAUGAUGCUUAAUCCUGCCAAAUGUGUUUUUGGUGUUCCGGCAGGCAAGUUACUGGGCUUUCUUGUGUCCAACAGAGGAAUUCAGGCUAAUCCGGAGAAGAUUACGGCUAUCACCUCCCUGGCUAAACCGAAGUGUAUCAACGAUGUUCAGCGUUUGGCGGGUCGGAUCGCCGCCCUGAGCCGGUUUAUCAGCCGCCUCGGAGAGAAGGCCAUCCCUUUAUACCAGAUGUUGAGAAAGACAGAUCACUUCAUCUGGAGUCUGGCUGCUGAUGAAGCAUUGGAGGACUUGAAGCGGCAAUUAGCCAAUCCGUCCGUUCUUGCAGCUCCAGUCGACAAGGAGCCGUUAUUGUUAUACGUAGCGGCCAAUGCUCGUGCAGUUAGCGUGGCUAUUGUGGUAGAACGCAAGGAGGCAGGCAAGGAGUAUCCGGUUCAGUGGCCGGUUUACUAUAUCAGCGAGGUGCUUAUUGAAUCCAAACAAAGGUAUCCGCAUUGGCAGAAGCUGGUAUAUGGAGUUUUCAUGGCAAGCUGGAAGUUGAAGCAAUAUUUCCAAGGGCACCCCAUCACAGUGGGCAGUUCAGCUCCCUUGGGCAAUAUCAUACAGAACCGGGAGGCGACUGGCCGGAUUGCCAAGUGGGCCAUAGAACUUGGGCCGCACGGAUUGAAGUACGUGCCUCGGACGGCGGUGAAGUCUCAAGCACUUGUUGAUUUCAUCAAUGAUUGGACGGAGUUGCAAGCACCAGAGGAAAAGCUGGAUCACACAUAUUGGACUAUCCAUUUUGAUGGAUCCAGGCAAUUGGAAGGCUCGGGGGCUGGAGUCGUGUUAACUUCCCCACGAGGUGAUAAGUUUUGUUAUGUUCUCCGCUUAAUGUUCCCUUGUACUAAUAAUGCAGCUGAGUAUGAAGCCUUGCUCCAUGGUCUCCGGAUGGCUAAAGAGAUGAAUCUAAGUCGGGUUAAGUGCUUCGGUGACUCGGACCUCGUAGCUCAACAGGUGUCUGGCACUUGGGACUCUAAAGACCCACUUAUGGCGGCAUAUCGUCGUGAGGUGGAUAUUGUUGCAGGUCACUUCAAGGGUUAUCAGGUGGAUCAUGUGGAUCGUGGAAAAAAUGAAGCGGUGGACGCUUUAAGCCGGUUGGGCUCUCAGCGUAAACCGGUCCCGCCUAAUGUCUUUCUUGAUGUGUUGCACAAUCCGUCAGUCAAGCUCCUAGGUGAAGCGGAUUUGGCUAUUCCUGAUUCGGAGGCUCAAUUGGUGGCAGCCCUGCAUAUUAUACCGGAUUGGACAGUUCCUUAUCUUGCGUACAUGAACCGGGGAGAGUUGCCAGAGGAUGAUACUCUAGCCAGGCAGAUAGUCCGGCGAUCCAAGUCUAUGACUAUUGUCAAUGGCGAAUUGCAUCAUUGCAGUGUAUCAGGGGCGUUUCAACGCUGCGUCUCCCCUGAGAAAGGCUGUGAAAUUUUACGCAAAAUCCAUGAAGGGGAUUGUGGUCACCACGCCGGUUCAAAGUCUCUGGUAGCUAAGGCGUUUCGUCAUGGGUUCUACUGGUUGACAGCUCAUGCUGAUGCGGAGCACUUGGUUAAACGGUGUGAUGGCUGUCAGAAAUUUUCAAGGCGUGCUCAUGUGCCGGCUCAAGAAUUGAGGAUGAUUCCAAUUACUUGGCCGUUUGCAACAUGGGGGCUGGAUAUGGUCGGACCUUUUAAAAGGUCCAAGUAUAAGAAAACCCACCUUUUGGUGGCAGUUGACAAGUUUACGAAGUGGGUUGAAGCGGAGCCUGUCAGCAAGUGUGAUGCAGCUACAGCGGUGCAGUUCAUUAAAAAGGUGAUUUUCCGGUUUGGCUUUCCACACAAUAUCAUUACUGACAAUGGUACCAAUUUAUCCAAGGGUGCUAUGAAGGAAUUCUGUGAACGUGAGCACAUCAGACUUGACGUAUCAUCAGUGGCUCACCCCCAGUCCAAUGGGCAGGCAGAACGAGCUAAUCAAGAGAUCUUGUGAGGCAUCAAACCCCGGCUUAUGGUUCCAUUGCAAAGAACACCGGGAUGUUGGGUUGAAGAGCUACCAUCUGUGCUAUGGAGUAUCAACACUACGCCCAACCGAUCUACAGGAUACACACCGUUUUUUAUGGUCUACGGAGCAGAGGCGGUUCUCCCUAGUGAUAUCCGGCACGAUUCGCCUCGUGUGGCGGCUUAUGCUGAAGCGGACAAUGAGACAGCACGGCAAGAUGCUUUGGACCUAUUAGAUGAGGAGCGUGACAUAGCGGCUGCCCGCUCGGCGAUUUAUCAACAAGAUCUUCGUCGCUAUCACAGUCGCCGGGUCAGAACCAGAACUUUUCAAGAAGGAGAUUUGGUGCUUCAGCUCAUCCAAGAUCAGACGGAUAUGCACAAGUUAUCCCCACCUUGGGUGGGACCUUUCGUGGUCAGCAAGAAUCUGCACAAUGGGUCGUACUAUCUGAUUGAUAUUCGAGAGCAUAAAGACUCACGCACAUCAGAGGAGGAGACUAACAGGCCGUGGAAUAUAGAUCAUCUUCGGCCUUACUACAAUUGAGCCAUCGGCUCUAUCUAUGUACAUACUAUGGUAGUGUAUAUAUUAUCAUUGAUAUAAUAAAACCGGAGCCUCAGCUAAAGCGGGGUCUCUGUUCUUUCAUAUCAUGUGUGGUUACAUGGAGUGGUUCUGUUUUAAAGCGGCCUCUGGUUUACCCCUUGAAAUUUUCUUUUCAACAAAAGCUUUGUGAUAUCACUUGGGGCCUUGGUCGUGUCCGAACCAAUGCGACGCCUUUUGAUAGGCGAAAGCCACCAGAUCACUUGGGGACAUGGUCAAGUCUGAACCAGUCACGCCUCUUGAUCGGCCUAAGGCCACAGAAUCACUUGGGGGCUUGGUCGAACCCGAACCAUUGCCACACCUUUUGAUCGGCAUAAAUGCCACGGUUUCAUUUGGGGACCUCGCUGACUUGAACUAUUUUCACUCCUAUUUGGGGGCUUGGUCCUGUCCGACCAUGGUAACACCAUCUGAUCAGCUCAGUAAAGCAUGUUUUUGCAAACGGUUUUUAUCAUUGCCUUUGUUUCCAUAUUUCUUUUAUGGCUAUUCUUCAAUUUUUGUUGUGCUUCCUUUAAACCAACAACACCUUUUUACCGGUUCAGCUGACGGAAAUCGGUUCAUUUGUAUUCCGGAGAAAUAUGCCCGGUUUAACUUUCCUGUUAACAUCAUGAAGUAGCAGGGGGGCUCAUAAUGACCCAGCGCGGUUUACAUGGGAGUUGUUUUCUCCCCUUUGAUGGUAACGGUUUAUAAAACCUCCGUUUCAAGCCUGGCUAAGCCAAUUUUAUGCCCAGUGAUGGAAGGUAUUUUGUAUCGCAUUUUUUGAUUAUAUGUUUUAAAUACAUUGAUCAAGGUUAUAAACCGGUUGGCGGUAUAACCGCCACCGCAGUUCAAGAUUUUCUGAUUGCAGGAAAUAUAAAUUGAGGAUUUCAAGCAAAAGCAUCAGUACUUAUGCACGAAGGCAUAUUUAAGGCAGAAGUAUUGACUAUCCUAUUACAAGGCAACAUGGUGCCCAGAUAAGAUCAUUGUUAUUUUGGCAGAUCAUAAUAAGGCAGUUGUCUAAACCGGCUUCCGGUUCAAGCCUGCUCAUCAAACCGGUCUGACGGUUGUGGGUCGUCCCGCGCCGCUUCACCUUCCUCAUCUCUAUCUUGGCUGGAAAUCAACAGUGGACCAGUCGAUUCCCAUUAAAGCUUGAAAGACAGCUUCUUCAUGGAUCAGAGAAGACGGUUCAAUAUCAGGAGCGUAAGUAUGCUUACGGAUUGGAGGAACCAGAUUCGCCGCUUCAGGAAUUGGUGCGGCCACUCUUUUGUUCUGAUCAUUGUACUGAGCUUGAUAAUGCGACAAGUCGGCCUCUUCAGCCAAUUGACAAGCCAGAGGGCGUACUGCACGGUUUAUUGCCCUCAAAUCAUCUUGAUUGAACUCUGAGCCAUCUUCCUUCAAGCUGGGAUAGCCUUGAGCUGCUUCAACAGGAUCAAAAUCCGGCACCCAUGCUUUUUCCCGGAUUAAGGCGUUGAUGGCUCCGGUUCGAGCAGCAGAUUUUUUCAGUUCUUCAAUCCGAGCAGGAAGCAUUGACAAUCUGUUAAGAGUGUCUUGGAUUAAAGUGGGUGCCGGAUUGUUAUGAGAUGCAGUGGUGAUGAUCCGUUGCGCUCCGGUAUACAACUGUUCAAUUAAAGUGUAGGCAGCCUUCAGCUUCUUCCGAACAUCUGACCCUAAGUGACCAAUGCGUGUACUUGCAAACAAUACAGGAAAGAUCACAAACCGGAUCUAUUAUAAGCAUGCCCGAGUUGUCCAGGAAACCAAAAGGCACUUACCAAAGAUAGCAGCAGUCAUGGAAUGUACUUGCCGCUUUACGGUGGUCAGCUCAUCUACCACCGGUUUAAGGGAAGCUUCAGCGUUUUCAGCUCUUUUUAUUAAAUCGGCCUUUUCAGUGGCCCAAUCAGUCCGCUCCUUCUUGAAGCCCUCUUUCAGCUGUUCUGUGAUGCUUAAAGUGCUGGUUGUUUCUUCCCUUGCCUUGUCGGUUUCAGCUUGUUGGGUUUUCAAAAUUUCCUGCAGAUCAGUAAUCCGGUCCUCUUUGAUCCUCACUUCAGCCUGCAUAAAGACAGUGCUUGGCUUUCAACAAACGGUAUAAGAAUUUGAAGUACCAACCACAUAACAAGUUAUAUGCUUGAUACUUGGGGGCUAAUGCACCUUCAACUUUCAUCUAUUACUAAAUCGCAAAGUCCCAAGCUCAAUACAGGUAUUCAACUUGGCACUUGGGGGCUAAUGGCUAUUUGCUCAGUUAUGUUCUGAUGUUAGAAUCUUUAAUGGAGUCCCGGUUUAACUAUACUAAGUUGAACCGGCCCUUCGGGGUUACAUUGAUGGAUUUCAAAGUAUUGAGGACUAUAUUCAAGUUCCGGUUUGAAGAAGAUUACAAAACCGGCACUUGGGGGCUAGGAGGAUUAAUACAGUGCCAGUAAUUAAAGAAAGAAGAAGCGCAAGGGAGUUACCUCAAAUUUAUCUCUCAUUUUUUUUACCAGGCCAGCUUCAUAGUCACGACUAGUAUAUAGCCGGUUCAAGUAACCAGAAUGAACAUCUUGGGCACUCAGAGCAGCAUAUGUUUCCAGAUCAACAUCCCAUUUGCCUUUGUUCAUGCCAGAAGAAUCUUCUUUCACAGUAUGCUUGGCCAAAGCGACAGGAUUCCCUGGUUCAAAGCGACCUACGCCGGUAAUUACAACGUCAUUAUCCUUGGACUCGCCGGUUUGUGUUGGCGCGGUCGGUUUAUCGGCAGGUUUUGAAGGACGGCGGGAUCCAUCAAUCCGGACGGAGCUAGCAGGCUGGUCAAGAAGGACUGAGGUAUUGAUAGGCCUUUUAUCAGUAAUAGCAUCAUCUUGCAAAGGAGGAUCAUUGGGAAUAUCUUCAGGAACGAACGAUUCAAGAUCUGGUGUUUUAUCCUGUUCAGGGGCAGCAUCUUCCUCGGCCGCUUUAUUCAGGCGGGCUUUUUUGCUUGGUUUAGGUUUAGCCCUGUAAGAGAAACAAAAAGUCAAGGAACAACCUAAGUUGUAACGUAGUAUACCAGAAGCAUAUGUUCAGUCUAGCUUACCCAAGAACCAUUUUCAGUGGUGGCAGUUGAGUGGCCGACGAUUCACCAGAGGAAGAAUGGGAAGUAACCUGAUAAUUAGAGUCGGACGUAUUAAGAGGUUGACGGAUGAAACCCGCUUUAGGACAUAAAUUAAUAAAAAGGUCGGAGACCUCGGAGCGGCGUUUUCAAACCGGACUGUUUGGUAAACCGGCGGAGGUAACUACCUGGCCGCUAUGCCGGGUUGUGCGGCGAGCUUCAUGUUGCGAGUCUUCAUAAGAAAUUUGGGAUCCAAAUAAGCAAGAGUAUGAGAAAAUUUAACUUUCCGGUUUGCCUGGCGAAAUUUUGGCAAAGGCAAAGGAUCUGAAUCAGAAGAGAGAAUAAUUACCUCAGCGACGUCAGCAUUACUGGCUUCAGCGUCGUCCUGACAAGUAUCAUCAUCAAUAAGGCGUGUAAAAAGUAAGCCUAGUGAAUCGAGUUCUACCUCAGGGUCCGAGUUACCCACAUCAUCAUCAACAGCCGGAUCAGAUGAAGCAGUGGUUUUCCUCUUUUUAGCAGGCUUCUUGAUGACCUUGGUCUUUGGCCGGAUUGGCCGUUCUGCUUUCUCCGGUUUGUCUUGUGAAAGCUUCUUGCUCCAAAACGGAUUAUCACCCUGGGUAAGCAGCAAUUGAUGUCAGACAGAGAUAGCAAUAACAGGUUCAAUAAAAAGUACAAUCAAAAACUUACAGCUGGCGGUUUGUUGGUAGCACAGAAAGGGGGCAGGCCGGUUUGAGCGCAGAGGUGCUCCGGUUCAUUCAGCAUUUUCUUCACAGCCUCUGUGACUUCAUCAUCGGAGAGCUGGAUGUUGAUGUGUCGGAGUGGGUCAUCAACGCUACCAGUAUACUUGCACAUUAACCCGGAGCGCCGGCUGAGAGGCAGUAUGCUCCAUGAUAUCCAACAGCGUGCGAGAUCUACUCCUGUUAAACCGUUGGCCAUGAAGGCUCGGAGCUUGGAUAAUUGCGGAGCGUAUUUACUCCUCUCCUUGGCACUUAACCUUUGUGGGAAGGGGUGUGUAUUGCUGAGCCGCUCCGGACGAAAGCUAGGCAAAGGAUUUUCAUCAUUAGGGGAAGUGUCUUUGCAGUAAAACCAUGUGGCAUUCCACUCCUUGGGGUGACUGUGUAAUCUGGCAUGGGGAUAAGUGAUUUCUUUCCUUUUCUGAAUUGCCAUACCACCCAAUUCGGUAUUGGGACCAUCAGUGAAUUCUGUGCGGCGGUUUAAGUGGAAGCAGUCUCUGAACAAUUCAACUGUGGGUUCCUCUUGAAGGUAUACCUCACAGAGCACUUGGAAGUGACAUAAAUUGGUAACAGAAUUGGGGCCAGUAUCUUGCGGGCGAAGUUGAAAAUUGGCUAACACGUCCGGUAAAAUUUAGAGCCGGGCGGUUUGAAGCCCCGGGCUAAGUGAUUCGCAAAGAUCACAACCUCUCCCUCUUGAGGUGUGGGAGGACAUUCAUUACCAGGAACCCUCCAGUGGAUAAUCUCUUUGCUUUCUAAAGCGCCGAUCGAGACUAAAUCAUCCAACUGAGUUUCUGUGACACGAGAAGGAACCCAGUUGCACUCAUAUACUUGUUUGGCCAUGGUGAGAUCUACAAGAAAUAGGUGAUUCCGGUUCAAGAACAUGUUGGAUAAAAGAAGGUGCCGGUAUGAACAAUGCUAAAUCGGAGGCAGUAUACUUAAACCGGAUUUUUAUGAAGUGGCAUCAUAUGGCUAAAGAGUUCUGGCGGUUCAACAAGGGGACUAAUGGUAUAUACCGGUUUAUUAACUUUUUCUAUAUUAAGUUAAACCGCCUGAUCUAAACAUUGAAAGCAAUUGAGGUUGCGGAUGGCUAAGUAUGCAGAAACAGGUUUUAUAAAGUCUUAUUGCGGCAAUGGAUCUGAAGCAAGUUCAGAAAAACAGAAAAUAUUCAAAAGAUUAAAGCAGAACGGAAGUGAAUCAAUGGGCAGGUACGUAGAUGAGACCUAUGGACUUGAGCGUGAAACUACAGGUGGAUACUAAAAGGCUACUGCUAAUCAGAGCAGGGUUUCACAGAUCUAUCCAGGAGUCUGGGUACGAGCAUGAACAAGUGAGGAACGCGGCAAGAACAUGAAACCCUUAACAGAUCUAUGUCAAGAAGAGCAGAAGGCUUACCAGAAUCGAGGAAGACGCGGAAAGCUACCGCAGUGCUCUGGAUCAUUCAGGUUGAUGCAGCGGCCCAAGACGGUGCAGAGGUCGAUGGCGGUGGCGGAGCUCCGAGGCUGGCGACGCGAGUAAGACAAAGAGAAAGAGACGAAGGGGAGAAAAGGAAAUGACUCUUCGGUCCUAUUUAUAAGGCAAAGGACGUGUGUCAGGCGCGCGAAUCCGGGAGCCACAGAAUUCGGAAGUGGAGCUGCUGCCUUGGGUAUCGCAGAUCUAUUAAUAAAAGAAGGUGUCAUAAAUGUUAACUUCAUGAUGACGUCAUGCCGGUUUACAGCAACCAGAGAUGAUGACGACAUGGCGGUUUAUCAAUUACCAGAGGAUGUUGAAGACAAAGAUUUCCUUGUGAAGGAUUGACAUGAACCAGUUCAAAUCAAUAUGGGGCCUAAUGUUGGGGAUAUUACUACUAGGUGUGAACCGGCCUACCUGGGCCGGGUUAACUUCAUUAAUAGUAUAAAGGUGAUUAAGCAGAUGAAGGCCCAAGGCCUGUAGUCGGUUUAGAACCUGUAGCCGUAAACCGGCUUGAUAUGUAAACUUGCAUUGUAAGUUAGGAAUAGAGAGAGACCAACCGGGAUAUGAGUAUGAACCGGUGUGGGACUCUGUGGACCGACGGGCGUCACCCGUGUAUAUACGGGGACGACCCGGCGGCGGUUCAAGGACAGACAACAACAGCUCGAGCCUAGGUGAAGCUUGUUUGCUCCCUAGCCAUCGAAACCACAUCAAUUCCAUCACAACUAGAUGUAGGCUUUUACCUUCAUCGAAGGGGCCGAACUAGUAUAAACCCUUGUGUCUUUGUGUCCGCUUUAACCCCUUCAAGUUAACCCGUAGCGAUGGCUCCACGACUAAGUCCUUUCACGAGGACAUCUUCCGUGACAAAUCCAUGACAUACGGACCUGAAUGUGGCAGAUCCGUUGACUAAACAUCUCCCUAGGGCAAAACAUGAUCAACACCAGAAUUCCAUGGGUGUUUGAUUCAUCACAAUGUAACUAGAUUAUUGAACUCUAGUGCACGUGGGAGACUGUUGGAAAUAUGCCCUAGAGGCAAUAAUAAAAUGGUUAUUAUUAUAUUUCUUUGUUCAUGAUAUUUGUCUGUUAUUCAUGCUAUAAUUGUAUUAUCCGGAAAUCAUAAUACACGUGUGAAUACAUAGACCACAACAUGUCCCUAGUGAGCCUCUAGUUGACUAGCUCGUUGAUCAACAGAUAGUCAUGGUUUCCUGACUAUGGACAUUGGAUGUCAUUGAUAACGGGAUCACAUCAUUAGGAGAAUGAUGUGAUGGACAAGACCCAAUCCUAAGCAUAGCUCAAAGAUCGUGUAGUUCGUUUAGCUAGAGCUUUUCCAAAUGUCAAGUAUCAUUUCCUUAGACCAUGAGAUUGUGCAACUCCCGGAUAUCGUAGGAGUGCUUUGGGUGUACCAAACGUCACAAUGUAACUGGGUGACUAUAAAGGUGCACUACGGGUAUCUCCGAAAGUGUCUGUUGGGUUGGCACGAAUCGAGACUGGGAUUUGUCACUCCGUAUGACGGAGAGGUAUCUCUGGGCCCACUCGGUAAUGCAUCAUCAGAAUGAGAUCAAUGUGACCAAGUGUCUGGUCACGGGAUCAUGCAUUAUGGUACGAGUAAAGUGACUUGCCGGUAACGAGAUUAAACGAGGUAUUGGGAUACCGACGAUCGAGUCUCGGGCAAGUAACGUACCGAUUGAUAAAGGGAAUUGUAUACGGGGUUGUUUGAAUCCUCGACAUCGUGGUUCAUCCGAUGAGAUCAUUGAGGAGUAUGUGGGAGCCAACAUGGGUAUCCAGAUCCCGUUGUUGGUUAUUGACCGGAGAGGCGUCUCGGUCAUGUCUGCAUGUCUCCCGAACCCGUAGGGUCUACACACUUAAGGUUCGGUGACGCUGGGGUUGUAGAGAUAUAAGUAUGCAGUAAACCGAAAGUUGUUCGGAGUCCCGGAUGAGAUCCCGGACGUCACGAGGAGUUCCGUAAUGGUCCGGAGGUAAAGAAUUAUAUAUUGGAAGUCGAGUUUCGGCCAUCGGGAAAGUUUCGGGGGUCACCGGUAUUGUAUCGGGACCAUCGGAAGGGUCCCGGGGGUCCAUCGGGUGGGGCCACCUAUCCCGGAGGGCCCCAUGGGCUGAAGUGGGAGGGGAACCAGCCCCAGGUGGGCUGGUGCGCCCCCCUUGGGCCCCCCUGCGCCUAGGGUUGGAAACCCUAGGGGUGGGGGCGCCUCCACUUGCCUUGGGGGGCAAGGCUCCCCCUUGGUCGCCGCCCCCCUUGGAGAUUCAAUCUCCUAGGGCCGGCGCCCCCCUGGGGACCCUAUAUAAAGAGGGGGGAGGGAGGGCAGCCGGACCUAUGCACUUGGCGCCUCCCUUCCCCCUUGCUACACCUCUCCCUCCCGUAGACGCUUGGCGAAGCCCUGCCGGAUCCCUGCUGCAUCCACCACCACGCCGUCGUGCUGCUGGAUCUUCACCAACCUCUCCUUCCCCCUUGCUGGAUCAAGAAGGAGGAGACGUCUCCCCGAUCGUACGUGUGUUGAAUGCGAAGGUGCCGUCCGUUCGGUGCUAGGAUCUCCGGUGAUUUGGAUCACGACGAGUACGACUCCCUCAACCCCGUUCCCUUGAACGCUUCCGCUUGAUCUACAAGGGUAUGUAGAUGCACUCCUCUCUCUCGUUGCUAGAUGAACUCAUAGAUUGAUCUUGGUGAAACCGUAGGAAAUUUUUUAUUUUCUACAACGUUCCCCAACAGUAUCGACCUGUUACAUAUGUCUUAUAUGUAUGCGAAAUACCUAAACACUCUUAUGCGCAAAAAAGAAAAAUGUUUAUAUGUCGUCAAAGUCUUUUCUUAGGAAUCCAAAAGAAAGACUUCUAUUUGCUACUCCCUCUGUUCCUGAAUAUAAGCCUUUUAGAGAUUUCAAUAUGGAUAGCAUAUAUACGGAGUAAAAUGAGUGAAUCUACACUCUAAAAUACGUCUAUAUACAUCUGUAUGUAGUCCAUAUUAAAAUCUCUAAAAUGGCUUAUAUUUAGAAACAGAGGGAGUAGAACAUAAUUUUGUUUUCUCUUUUCAAGUUGUAAGAGAUAGUCAAUAUGUCAUUUUCUUUUAUUUUGGAACCAUUUUUUGACAAGUGCAUCUAUAAUCUAUUGGGACCUUGUUGGCAAGUGAAAUCCACGUUCUUCGUGUAUCCCUUUUUAAAGGUAACUUACAUAUGUGUAUAAUAAAUAACAAAAAUGCAAGUUCCAUUAGGAGUUCUUAAACUAUCACAACCUUCUUGCUUGCCUUUUUGUUUCACUUUGUUUCGAGACUCUCUAAUCUUUCAUCCAUUUCUCGCAUGACUCCUUUUAACCAUCAAACUAACAAAUUCUGUUAGGUGGAUGCUGACAUGGGAAACCGAGCGUGAGCUAGGGCGUAACGGUGGGAAUAUCAUAUGAGAAAGGGGGCCCAUCAUAUCACAGAAAAUAAGAGAGGCAACUGAAAAGUUGUGAUAGUAACACCCCCCCCCACACACACACACACUCACACUAAAGAGCGUCGAUAGAUUAGGAAAUAUGUAAUGGAAAAUUAGUCUUUGUUUCUCUUCUAUNNNNNNNNNNNNNNNNNNNNNNNNNNNNNNNNNNNNNNNNNNNNNNNNNNNNNNNNNNNNNNNNNNNNNNNNNNNNNNNNNNNNNNNNNNNNNNNNNNNNNNNNNNNNNNNNNNNNNNNNNNNNNNNNNNNNNNNNNNNNNNNNNNNNNNNNNNNNNNNNNNNNNNNNNNNNNNNNNNNNNNNNNNNNNNNNNNNNNNNNNNNNNNNNNNNNNNNNNNNNNNNNNNNNNNNNNNNNNNNNNNNNNNNNNNNNNNNNNNNNNNNNNNNNNNNNNNNNNNNNNNNNNNNNNNNNNNNNNNNNNNNNNNNNNNNNNNNNNNNNNNNNNNNNNNNNNNNNNNNNNNNNNNNNNNNNNNNNNNNNNNNNNNNNNCUUCCAACUGCUAUCAAACUUUGCUCAUUUUGCUCGUCAUUAUGAUGUUGGUUUUCAUUUUGAGGUUCCAAAAUAUAUUGGGAACUACUAAUAUCGCUACUUAUCUGACAAAGCUAGGAUAAAGCAAAAGAUAAACACACUCAAUCCUCCUCCCCAAGAAAAGACCCAGGGCGAUGGACCUCGGCCCUUCGCCAGCGGGAGGGACCACACUCUCGUUAUUUUUAGGUUCAUCAUCUUGGUUGGGAUUGUGUGAUGGCGGCGAUGUCCCUCAGUAGGAAUAAUGCUGCUCACAUUCGAUCCCCAUCCCCAUCAUGCGUCUACCAUCGUUGGAAGGCGUUUGGAGGAGAGUCUUCACCAGGUCUCACGGGAUUCAGCCGGUAGCGGAUCUUUAAAGGAUCUAUUUUGACCUAGUACUUGUUUGGGUGUUUAUGAGAUUUGAUCCUUUUGAUCUACAAUUCUCUUCAUCCGUGAUGGUUGCUACUCCAGUGUGUUGAUCCUGUGGGGCUUUAGCAUGAUGACUUUUCAACUGUUUACUACUACAAGGUUUGCGAAGCUCCGGUGAGACAAGGGCGAUGACGGUGGCCCAUACUUGGUUUGGUCUAGUGCUUGUAGUCGUUGCUAGUUGGUAAUUGUUCACACAAGAACACAUCACCAUGUACCCUCGACGCUGGGUGUUAUGCACCGCAGCUCACGUCGAAGGAGACCCAACCAGCAGCGCGGUACGCAAGCAAGCCGGCGGAUGCUUUUGUAGACCCGAAACCACAUAUGCCUGGGAGGGACCCCGUCAGGGCACGCGGUGGUUAUGGGCUGCCCUAGGUCGACUUGAUCGCCCCUUGAGCCUCGAGGUUCGCCGACCUGCAAUGAAGAAGAACAAACGAAGAACGAGGAAUAAGAAGAACAAGGGAGAAGAUAAAAAUAAAGGUAAAAGUGGUAGAUUCAUUUGAUCGAUUUUGUGUUAUUCAAUCAGCCAGGACUCCAAAUCUCGUUCAAAUCCUUCCAAAAUUAGUCGAACUCGGAUUAGGUAUGUCUGAGACAACAGUCCGGUUUUUGUGUUUCACAGGACAAAUAUGUCCUUGGAUGAAGAUGCAUCCAAAAGCAAAUUUAACUGUUUUGAUGAGACGGACAACUUUUGUGUUGAACAUUUCUCGAUUCGAGGCCAUCUUGAGGGCCGAAUCUCUUGCGCGACCCAUCAGACAUCGCGUCUGAUGCCCCGGGCAGUUUUUACUCAUGAUAGGUCUGCAGUGUAUUGGCUCCAACUUUUGCAUACGGCCUCGGAAUGAGACGAGUUUUAAAUCAAAAUCGAUCGUUUCGACGAGACCAAGACAAUCCGUAGAUAAAAUUUUCUCAUAUGAGGCUGUCUUGGAGGUCUAACCGUCCGAACAGUACUCCGCAUACAAAAUCUAGUACUUCGAGCACAACGUCGACAAUACAAAACUUCUUUAUGCAGAUCACUCCUUCAUUUGAGGCCAUCUUAAUUAAGUUCUUGACCGUGCCAAAAUCUGAUGUCAACACAUGCCCCUCUGUUUUUCGCAAAAAUUGUGUGCCAAAAAAUAACUUGCACGAAGUUAGCGUGAUGUUAACACUCCAUGGGCCAUUUUGUACGUGCUUAGGACGAUAAGUAUAUAUCUGCCAUUUAAAUUAGCAACAAAAGUGAAACUAAUUGAACAUAUGAUGAUUUGUUAAUACCCUUUCAUGAUGUAAGAAAUUAUAUUGCAUCCACGGAUUAAAAUAAAUAAGCCCAUUGAGGGUAACCAAUUAUACCUGAUGACGAAUUCCAUGGCAUAGGCAUCAACAGCAUAGCUGAAGAAUAUGGAUAAUGUGUGGAUCGAAGACAUUGAAACCUUCGUCUUGCUCCUUCAUAGUUUUCACUCUUUUCCUUCUUCACCUUUGCCGCACUUCUUGUAAUGUAAGCUUGCACAUAAUUCUUAUUUUGAGUACUUCCUUUGAGAACCCAUGCCAUGUUCCUUUCUUCAAGUUCUUGUGCACUAUUUUUUUUAUUUCUUAUUUUGACAAUAUGAUAAGCCGAGUGAGCACCCCGGCUAUGAUUUUUUUCAUCUGAGAUCAAAUCUGAAGUAGCACUCUUACGACCAUCUUUUUUAACACGGUAAACUUGCUUGACCACCACUUUCCUGUUCCUUGAGCUCCGGACUGAUUCCUUAUGAUUUAAACGGUCUUUGACAUGUGAUUGUUCAAAUGUUGACCUUUUUGGAGUUUCAUAAUGUUUGUGAGAUGGUCUAAAAAUAAUAUGAAGAAUGCACCCUUGUAUCAUACCUGUCCCACGAUGGAUAUGAAUUUACAUGAUCAUAGGAAGAUAUCCAUGGCAUUGACGGCACAAAAUAUGGAUAUGAAUAUACUGCAUUAGAAUUCUCAUUUUCCCCAUACCGAUCCUUGGUUUUGCGCCUAGGGGGUGGUAUUUAUGCUCUUGAAUUACUUGGCCGAUAAGCACUCUUCUCCUCAGUUAUCUUCUGAUAUUUUUUCAAUAGUUGCGCGAAAGUGACUUUCGACUUUUGACCAUUGUGGUUAUCUCGUCCUUUGCUUUCUUUAGUUGUGCUUGCACCGAUCUUUGGAUUUUCUUGUUGCCCUCUAGUACUUGGCGUCUUUUAUGCAACCUUGAUGGAAUUCCCGUCUUCAAGAAUAUUUUCAUUGUGCUCUUGAACAACUUCUUUACUUGAAAACUUGAUCCUAUCGUCCACAAUUUUUACCUUCUCAUGCUUAAAUGGAUCGGCUUCAAGCAGCCGAUGCAAAAAUCAUUUGCCAUCAGGACCAAUCAGAAUAAACUAAUCAUCUCUUGGUGUCUCAACAAAUUUCAAUCGUCCUUUAUGAAUAUCCGAUUUAACUAUUUGAUGAAACAUUUUGCAAUCCUCAAAAUUAUGUUUGAAGGAAGGAUGCAACCUAGAAUACAUUCGUCCAUGAAUUGAUGGCUUGACAUGGUGAUAAAGAAUUCUUAUGUAAUUAUUUUUCAGUAAUAAAUCAAAUAUUUUAUCACACAUAUGUGCUUGAAUUGAAAGUAAACUUUGGAGCUAAGCAAACGAAUGGUUCAGAUUUUGCAUUACCCCAUUCGGCUAUGCAUUGUGGUUUGCACUCUAUCUCCGAUGUCUUUGAAAAGGAAAUUAUACUAUCAUCGGUUUUCUCAACAGAGUAUAACCUUGGCUUUAAAUUUCUGAAAUCAAAGUAGUUAGAACAUACAUGUCUCAAUUGAGACCAUGCGUAAGCCAAGUAUGAAAUAAGCAAAGCUACCCAAUUAGAUAUGAAUUUUAAAUAAAGCAAUGGGAAAAACUUUGGCUGCAAUAAUAAGUCACUAUCGUUAUUUACAAAUGGCACAAUAGGUUGACUGAUAUGUUCUAUAACAAUUUUAUUGCUAAAAAGUAAAUUACUCUUCUUCAUUGGUCUUUCAAAAUUACUUAUGAGAAUUUUUCUUAUAGAAGCAUCAACAAGAAAGUUGCGACCAAAUUGGAAGAUAGGUAAAUCACUUGCUAGACAUACCUUUUCAAACACGUUGGGAAAGCAUGAUAGUUGUGUUACUUGAACGACAUAUUGUUCCUCUUUCAAAUAGCUCCCCAACACCUUGUCAUCCUCUUUUUCUAGAAUAGAUUCAGCAUACGUAAUAUUUGAUUCAGUCCUUUCAAUUACGAAUUAACUUUGUUAUCCGAAUCACCACUUUUUUGAUAAUUCUAUCCACACCCAAUGUUUUAUUUUUUUGACAUAAUCUAGCUUGUAUUGCAACAGAAUUAAUAGGUUUUCCCACUUUUAUUAAUUCAUGUAGAACACAAUUGCAUUCGUCGCAAAAAGAAGUAAGAUUUUUCUUAAUUACCCUAUCUGGAAAGAAUUGCCCCCCUGACACUUGUAGAAUCUUUCGGUAACGAGAUGUCGUCAAAAUUCUGUAAUUGUGUAGGAAAAACAUUGUAUGCUAUGAUACUAGGUGAAGACACAUGUGAUCCUAUAUAAUUUUCAGUUAUUCGACUAUUAGCGUGAAGGUGCGAAAGCCGAAUUAUGAAUACCUAUAGUUGCAUAUUGUGCCAAAAACUUAGUAGCAUGAGGUGUAGCAUAUGAUGAUUGAGGGUAAUUGGCUAGAUAAUUAGUAGUAGCAUGGUCAAUUUCCCGAUCCACCGGCAUGUUUGAAUUAACAUAUUGCAAGUUAGUAGCCGAUGAAUAAAAAUGUGAAACAAUUUGUUGCAUACUAUCGGAAGUUCCUGUGUGAGGUGUUUCAACUUGAUUAACCGAACUCAUCAUGUUAUUCAUCGGCAUAGGGAUUUGUGGGGUUGCCGAUGCAUGGGAGUUGGAAUACAUAAGUUGCAUGUUGCUAAAAUUAUAUGAGGUAGAAGCAUGAAGAUUUUGUUACAUUGGCUCUUGCACAUAAUUAGAUGCAUUAUUGAUAAAGCUAGGGCUAGACGAUACAUUAUGCUCAUUAGAUGAUCUAGCAACAACAUAUGUGAAUUGGGUAUUCAUAUUACCUUUGUAGAUUGCAAACCCUAGAUGAAGAUCUCUUCGUAGUAAGAACGGGCCGAAGACUGUUCAAAACUUCGUCCCCAGCGGAGUCGCCAAAAUGUGUGUUCACACACGAACACGUCACUAUGCACCCUUGAUGCCGGGCCGGGGGUGAUGCAUCACAACUCACGUCGAAGGAGACCCAACCGAAAACGCGGUACACAAGCAAUCCGGCGGGCGCUUUUGUAGACCCGGAACCCCACACAUCCGCGAGGGACCUCAUCAGGGCGCGCAGCUGCUAUGGUCUGCCCUAGGUCGACCUAAUCGCCCCUAGAGCCUCGAGGUUCGCUGCCCUGCAAUGAAGAAAAACGAACGAAGAACGAGGAAGAAGAAGAACAUGGGAGAAGAUAAAAGUAAAGGUAAAUGUGGUAGAUUGAUUUGAUCGAUUGUGUGUUGUUCAAUCGGCCGUCACCUCUCAUCUAUUUAUGAGGCGGCUAGACUUUCCGUACAAGAAAAGGACUCCAAUUCUCGUUCAAAUCCUUCCAAAAUUAGCCGAACUCGAAUUAGGUAUGUCUGAGACAGCAGUUCGAUUUUUGUAUUUCACAUAUCAAAUACGGCCUCGGAUGAAGAUGUGCAUAAAAGCAAACUUAACCGUUACAACGAGGCGAACACCUAUUGUUUUGAACGUUUUUCGAUUCGAGGCCAUCUUGGGGGCAGAAUCGCUCGAGCGCCCCAUCAGACAUCAUGUCUGCUGCCCCGGGCCAGUUUUUACUCUUGAUAGGUCUGCAGUGCAUUGUCUCCAACUUUUGCAUACAACCUUGGAAUGAGACUAUUUUUAUAUCAAAAUCGAUCGUUUCGACGAGACGAAGACAAUCCGUAAAUAAACUUUUCUCAUAUGAGGUUGUCUUGAUGGCCUAAUUGGCCAAACAGUACUCUGCAUACAAAAUUUAGUACUUCGAGCACAACUUCAACCCUUGAGAUGAGAUUGGAUGGCGAUGGCCCAAACUUCAUAGAUGUUCACAUGGACAAUACAGAACUUUUUUAUGUAGACCCGUCCUUCAUUUAAGGCCAUCUUAAUUAAGUUCUUGAUCGUGUCAAAAUCUGAUUUCAAUAGUAAUUUUUGUUACCUCUGAUGUUCCCUGUACUACCAUGGUUGAUUAUGAAUAGAUCAAAAGUUUAUCCCACAAAAAAACACAAUUUAUCUCUUGGAUUUUUUCUUAUUUGAUUUCGCAAUUCAGCGAAGUGACUUAAAUUCCCAUAUGGAUUUACCUAAAUCCAACCAAAGUUUGACGAACAUAUGAAUCUUUGAUUAUAUUAGUGCAAUCCCUUGUUAUAGUUUAUGAUUUUGUUCUUGCUGGCCAUAUCUAACACUGUCGACAAAGUUCUCCAUAGGCUUCUCAAACACUUGGUUGUUUCAUGUCCAAGAGUCUUGGGUUUUUGUUUGCCUACGAUUUUUUUACGCGGAGGCCUUGGCCUCAAUGAACUAAUUAAAUAAAACAGAGUUGUCAUGUUAAUUAGGGGAGAAUCGGGCAAAAACCGAAACUACACGCACAAAGGCCGGUCAUCGUGGAGCAUGACAAUAGCCAAUAGGGCACUCCGACCAAUAGUACUACUAACCCAAACUUACAAAUACACCGGUAAUAAGGGAGCAACCGUGAAGACUGCCCGUCAUCACCAACCGCCUCCAAUCCAGGUAGUCUGACUUUGCCGCGGACAAUCACCAACGACGCUAUCCUCGUGACAUCUGCGCGAGCACCGUAGCGCCAAAACAAUAGAUAACUCCAACUUUGACAAAGAGGUUUACGAGAGAAAUAUGCAAGGCUUGUGCCUCCCUAGGCCCCCAAUAGGGCACCUUCACAUUUCAUUGUCACCACCAAAACCGCUACGGCAGCUCCGACUUCACAAGGAACGACGCUCGAAAAGACCCAUCGGACAAAUCCAAAAGAUUGAAUGCUGAAGCAUGCAGCGAUUAUGCGAAACCUCAGUCUUGUUAUCGUCGCUAAACAAACACGCUAUACAGAUCCAGGGUAGUCUCCUUGGCAUCCAUGCCGAACAAUCCAGCACCCGCUCCAACAAUCGAACCGUGGACAUCCAUAUUGACCUCUAUAGUCACAAUAGUAUUUGAGUGAGCCUUUGGUUACCAUAUGCUAUUCCUUUUGCUUAGCGAUACUUUACAAAAGCCGAGGUCAGAUAUAUCGGCAUCCCUGUGAGUGAAACACAUUGUCACUAUGUCACUCUCCUCAUUAUCAGUUUUGUUCUCUUUUCUCUUUCUCGUGUUCAGGCACCCCCAUGAUCAAUUCAUGCUAUAUCUGGCCGGAUGUUGAUGGGUGUCGUCACACCGAGACGGACUGAAGAACAUCUUUCCAUCGUCGGAGGAGAAAAUUCUAGUUUCGAGCUAUCUAGUCCCUUGGCAUACAUUUCCUAUUUUUUUGAUAAAUGACAUUUCAUUGAAUUGAUAUAUCGAGGUGAUAUAAUCUCAUUAAAAGAAAGCCCGACCUCUGCAUAGCUUGAUGCACACAGCCAAAAAGUCCAACCGACCUAAAAAUAAAUAUUGUUUCACAACUAAAAUAAUAAAUCAGUCCAGCCUAUGGUGUGGCAGAUCCUAUCCGGAGAUCACACCGCCAUCCAUGGGGGGAGAAAACCUCCCUGGCCGUAUGCUCCAGCCGUGCAAACGCCAUCAUAAAAAGGUCCCUAUCCUCCGGCCUCUGCAGAAUAGACCAAGUACGGAGCCAUCCCGUACAUACAUGAAUAACCUGCAUAGGAGAUGAGACAUAUUUAUUAUUAUAAAUCACAUCAUUCCUGGUAAGCCAUAAUGUUCAGCAUAAGGCAGCCGCCCCCAUAAGAAUAUGUGCAGAAAAUUAUCUAUCAAUACCCCGCAACCAGUUGCCGAACAUGUUACGUGCACUACAUGGGGGGGGGUAUAAAUUUGAAGAUACUUGAACUAUGACCCAAAUUGCCCGAUCGAACUUACACUCAAAAAAUAAGUGUUUAAUAGACUCGUCAUGUUGGCAAAAGACACUUGCCAGUUGCGUCGUACCAGAUUAUCUCUAGUUAAGAUAAUUUGGAAACCAGAGGAAUAUCUUCACUCUUAGAGGCAUACAUUUCCUAUGAACAUGUAAAUUGCUGCUAUGAUGGCCCUGUUAUGGUUGACGUUGGACCAUCUGUCAUGAACGAUUCCGACAAUAAUAAGGGAUAGGGUAAAGGAGCAUGAUCUAUCGAGAUGCAUAUGGGUGACACGGUGCUUUUAGCGAGUUCGGGCCUCUUGCGGUGGAGAUAACGUCCCCUACGUCUCGUGCUCCGGAGAGGCUUUCUUUAUCUGUCAUGAACACGGAGUUACAUGGUGUAUUUGAGAGAGAGGAGGGGGGAGAACGGAUCUCCAUGCCUGAGCUAAAUGGAGAGAGAGAGAGAGGUGGAAGAAAAAGCCCGAGUCUAGUGGUGGGGGUGGCUUAUAUAGAGUGCGCCACCCCCUCACCCCUUAUGUUACAAGGUGGAGCAUGAAUGCAAUGUUAGCCUACUACUGGUAUGAUGCUUCGACUGCCUUGCCGAAUGUUGGUCUUCGCAUAACCGAGUGAAUCAUACUGCCGAGUGGUUGCCUGCCAUCCGAGUGGAUGGUACGUCGAUAUGUUCGAGUGGAUAGUAUGUAUGAAUGAUAUUUAUCUGGACCCAUCUCAUGUGUGGACCCCAUGCUUUGUGAUAUUUUGACCCUUUAUGGGCCUACCUGUUAUGUGUGUCCCCAACACUAUCCCCAAAGUGUAUCGUCGUAUGAAAUGACUCGACGCUCUGAUGGUCUAAGAAAUUGUGCAUAUGUUAACUUUUAGUGUUCCUAUCUAUUUUACCCAGCCGGUUGUGGCAUCUUGAUUUGGCUAGUUGUUGUUUCUAGCCUUUUUUGGCUCUGUGUGAGCUUUUUCUACUUUUCUAUGACCAUUGGAACCAUGUUGGCACUACUUCAUUUUUUAAUAAGAGGGCCGUAUGCAUCGUGCUGAUGCAGAGGCCGGGGUUUUUUUCCCCCUUUUCGAAAAAAAAGUAUAACAUACAAGUUGGGUCAAUUCAACAUGAUGUUCUUCCAACAUUCUUCCCUCGAUCUUGUUGGCAUCAUCAUUACACUUAACUAUAACCAUGAUUAGAAAAAUAGAACCAUCAUGCAACACUUGAGCUAGUGCUAACGGUAAGACUAGAAAUCUUAUUUUUACCGUUUAUAAUCUUACACGUGCAUGCGAAUUUUUUCUCUGAACCUCUUAGUUUUCGCAAAUUUGAAAACCAUAGCAAUUCUACCAUAGAAUACAAACAUCAAUUAUAAAUUUAGAAAUAAAAAAUAACACAAUUAUUAUUGCCUCUAGGGCAUAUUUCCAACACUUGCCUCCAAGAAAGCCAACAACCGCCCUGAUCCCCGCAUCACUGAUAAAAACCUUUUGACGGGUGGUAAGACCAUCGGCGAUGGUGGUUUCUCCGUGAAUAAUCAAUCUGAGUAAGGGAUGUCGCUUUAGAGUUUCAGUGGGAUAAUUCGAGUGGACAAUGCAUGUACACAUUUAUCACACGCACAAAAUUUGGAGCCAUGAUGUAGGUACUGCCCUAUAUGGGCGGUUAGUGCAACUAUGCACAUUAGGAUUCAGCAAGUUCAGUCUGCUGGAUAUGUAGAAAGAUAGUCGAUUUGAACGAAAUUGGGUGUAAAGAAAAUACAACUGAACAUAGUGUCAAGGAUGGUCAAAAGAACAGCUGGUAUACUCAAAUAAUAACUCAUAAUAAUAAAUAGUUUUAAAAACUCAGAAUAAAACACGCGAGAAUAGUUUACGUAGAGACAUGUAGCCCACUGAAAGAGUGGCGUUUUCUUUCCCACCAGACACCAACCAUGCCAUAUGCCAACCACACCUGUCACCAUCAUUUUCGUUUGGCAUUACCGUAUUUUACUCCCUGGAACACAUUCUUUGCACACCAGAAUCAAUAAACGUUGACGACGAGGGCCACGAGGAGUGCCAUCCAUCAUCCGUGCCAACCCUGCCUGCAUAAAUAAGUCUGAACUGCUGUCCCUCGUGGAAACUCGGCGACCGGCGACCUCACCAGACCCCAUCCGGCACCAACCCCGCGCUCCGGGACACCUAUUUAUAGCUCUCGCCGUGCACGCUCUCGGCAACCAAGCAGCCGCUGCAACAUACUACAAUUACUUUGCACUAGCAACACAACGCUCUGACUGAGCUCAUAGCGUUUGCACCUGCCCAUCUUAACUAGUUGAUCACCGCAGCAAUGGCCUCCACAAACAGCUGGGCCCACGAGAUCGAGUCGUCGGUCGCGGCACCGCGCCUGUUCCGUGCCGGCGUCAUGGACUGGCACAUUCUGGCACCCAAGCUCGCGCCCCACAUCGUCGCCAGCGCCCACCCCGUUGAGGGCGAAGGCGACAUCGGCAGCGUCAGGCAGUUCAACUUCACCUCAGGUACAUACAUAUGCAUCACAUACAAUCCACGCAUGUCACCUCAGUCAGGCGGUGGCAUAACACGCGAUUCUUUGCUCUUGCAGCCAUGCCCUUUACCCUCAUGAAGGAGAGGCUCGAGUUCCUGGACGAGGAGAAGUGCGAGUGCAAGUCGACCCUCAUCGAGGGCGGUGGCAUCGGCACGGCCAUCGAGACUGCAAUGUCGCACAUCAAGGUGGAGCCGGCAGCCAAUGGAGGGAGCUUGGUGAAGGUGGACUCGACGUACAAGCUGCUACCAGGCGUGGAGGUGAAUGACGAAAUCACCAAGGCCAAGGAAUCCGUCACCGCCAUCUUUAAGGCCGCUGAGGCCUACCUCAUCGCCAACCCCGAUGCCUACAACUGAAUCAGAUGAGAGGGAUCAUAUAUGAUUAUGAUGUCCCAAGUUUGAUUUUUAUGUGCUUUCUUCCGGAUCUAAUAAAGCUGCUACAAUCUCUAAGCUAUAGUAGUGACGCCGAGCGCGAGAGCACCGGGCAGAGUGUGGACGUGAGAAGUUUAGAAGUUAGUAUUUGUGACACGAAAGGGGCCUGUUGUUUGAUGAUGUUGGUGCUUGCUUAUGUGAAAUACCUAAACACUCUUAUUUUCUUAUAUAUUUGGAAUUGGAAAAUUAUGUGUCGACCUG